UGCUGUCUCAGUCUGUGGAGCUGCAAAGUUUUGAAAGAGGAAGUUUGACAGGCAUGCCUAGACUCAUGUCUUUUUAUGUCUUACUGCAUGAGCACUUACCAGCAACAGCUCUCAGUAAAAUAUAUUAGCUUCACUCUGCAAAAAUACAGAUAAAUAGAAAAGAAAUAACAGCUUGACCCAACACCUCCUUGCCA
rnacentral:lncRNA from 1 species